rnacentral:lncRNA from 1 species
GGGUGGCCCACUUCGUCAGCCUGACUCGGAAUGCCGCGAGACUUUGUGAGCGGCCUCCGUGUGCCAAAAAUAGGACGCGGACAAAGCCGCGCCCAAAAAUAACAGCCCGAAGGCCGGGGUGCCAAGUUCGUCCAGCGGAAAAAGGCCACAAAAACGGGUGGGCUAUAGCCUUGGGGGGUGGGGCUGGCCCACUUCGUCAGCCUGACUCGGAAUGCCGCAAGACUUUGCGAGCGGCCUCCGUGUGCCAAAAAUAGGACGGGGACAAAGCCGCGCCCAAAAAUAACCGCCCGCAGGCCGGGGUGCCAAGUUCGUCCAGCGGAAAAAGGCCACAAAAACGGGUGGGCUAUAGCCUUGGGGGGUGGGGCUGGCCAACUUCGUCCGCCGGACUCGGAAUGCCGCGAGAUUUUGCGAGGGGCCUCCGUGUGCCAAAAAUAGGCCGUGGGCAAAGCCGUGCCCAAAAAUAACCGUCCGAAGGCCGGGGAGCCAAGUUCGUCCAGCGGAAAAAGGCCACAAAAACGGGUGGGCUAUAGCCUUGGGGGGUGGGGCUGGCCAACUUCGUCCGCUGGACUCGGAAUGCCACGAGACUUUGCGAGGGGCCUCCGUGUGCCAAAAAUAGACCGCGGGCAAAGCCGCGCCCAAAAAUAACCGCCCGAAGGCCGGGGCGCCAAGUUCGUCCAGCGGAAAAAGGCGACAAAAACGGGUGGGCUAUAGCCUUGGCGGCUGGGGCUGGCCAACUUCGUCCGCCGGACCCGGAAUGUCGCGAGACUUUGCGAGGGGCUUCUGUGUCCCAAAAAUAGGCCGUGGGCAAAGCCGCGCCCAAAAAUAACCGCCCGAAAGCCGGGGCGCCAAGUUCGUACAGCCGAAAAAGGCCACAAAAACGGGUUGGCUAUAGCCUUGGGGGGUGGGGCUGGCCAACUUCGUCCGCCGGACUCGGAAUGCCGCGAGACUUUGCAAGGGGCCUCUAUGUGCCAAACAUAGGCCACGGACAAAGCCGAGCACACAAAUAACCACCCGAAGGCCGGGGUGCCAAGUUCGUCCAACGGAAAAAGGCCACAAAAACGUGUCGGCUAUAGCCUUGGGGGGUGGGCUGGCCAACUUCGUCCGCCGGACUCGGAAUGCCACGAGACUUCGCGAGGGGCCUCCGUGUGCCAAAUAUAG